CCUACGGGAGGCAGCAGUGGGGAAUCUUAGACAAUGGGGGCAACCCUGAUCUAGCCAUGCCGCGUGAGUGAUGAAGGCCUUAGGGUCGUAAAGCUCUUUCGCCUGUGAUGAUAAUGACAGUAGCAGGUAAAGAAACCCCGGCUAACUCCGUGCCAGCAGCCGCGGUAAUACGGAGGGGGUUAGCGUUGUUCGGAAUUACUGGGCGUAAAGCGCGCGUAGGCGGAUUAGAAAGUUGGGGGUGAAAUCCCGGGGCUCAACCCCGGAACUGCCUCCAAAACUGCUAGUCUAGAGUUCGAGAGAGGUGAGUGGAAUUCCGAGUGUAGAGGUGAAAUUCGUAGAUAUUCGGAGGAACACCAGUGGCGAAGGCGGCUCACUGGCUCGAUACUGACGCUGAGGUGCGAAAGUGAGGGGAGCAAACAGGAUUAGAUACCCUGGUAGUCCACACCGUAAACGAUGAAUGCCAGUCGUCGGGUAGUAUACUAUUCGGUGACACACCUAACGGAUUAAGCAUUCCGCCUGGGGAGUACGGUCGCAAGAUUAAAACUCAAAGGAAUUGACGG
rnacentral:rRNA from 1 species